AUGAGGACAAACAUAACAGCACCACCGAGGGGCGAGUUUUACAGUCACCACAGCGAAAACAAGUUGGUGGUUCGUCAUAAGACUUUGAGAAGGAAUAUGAGUGAGGAACAAAUCAAACAAGAAUUCAUCAAUGAAUUUUCUCCCUUCUUAGAUAAUAUUGGAUUCAAAUUCUUUACUCAAAAAGGCUUAUCCUUAAUCGUAGACCUGGGUCUAGCUAAGGGGACUGCUUUAAAUGGCGCUACGUUCAGCCGGCUAUAUAAAAAAAAAGCAGUGUUUAAUAUGCCAUUUCAGGAUUUGCCCAUCCCUGAUUUCAAUUCCGUGAGUGGGUCUGAGAGCAUUGCUGAAAAUGGUCCAACAACAAGGGAACGUGAACGAGUGAUGCCUACUAUUGAAAUUAGCGAUGAUGAUUCUGAUGAUUGUGGCCUCUCUGACACACAAUCGUCGCCUGCCACUGAAGUUGAUAUAAGAACAUUGCUGCUCCCGUUGAAGGAACAAAUAUCUACAUCCUAUUGUCAAUGGAAAAUUGAUCGCUGCAAUGUGCUAAAUAAUGCAUUUAACCAAAUGCGUCGUUCAUAUUUUGACCCUACAAAACCUGUGGCCAUAACAUUCACAGACACAAUGGGGAUGGAGCCUGGUGACGAACCACGCGAAGAAGAGGGUGUUGAUGGUGGAGGUCUCUCUCGAGAAUUUUUCACCUUAGGGCUCUGCAAUAUCAGAGAUUCCAAACUUUUUGUCGGCUCAUCUGAAGAGAAAGCAUUAAACUAUCACGGCCCAGGCAACGUUACUCGGCAAGGCAAGAAUGAUUACGAACUUGCAGGUAUGUUUAUGGCUAUGGCCCUCAUCCAGGGAGCAGCUGGACCUAACUUUUUGACGACAGAGCUGUAUGAUGCUCUACUAACUGGCAGUAUUAACAAAGUAAAAGAACACUCGCUAGAUCCUGUUGUUAGGAGGCAUUUGCACUCAAUCAUUGAAGCACCCGAUGUCACUGCUCUAAGAAACGCAGUGCUGGAGGAGUCGUGCACUGAGGCGAGACUGGCCUCUUAUCCAUCACUCUGUGAUAAGCAAAGUCUAAUUGAUCGUAAGUAA
rnacentral:lncRNA from 1 species